rnacentral:lncRNA from 1 species
GCCAUGGUGAGCACGCACGGCGGCCGGCGUCAACAACUUAAGUCACAGCCCCUGUUUUCUUGAAUUUCAACAUUUUGGGCUUCGGAUUUUCAGGGAUUUAGAUUUGCAAAUUUUGGGGAAAUUUCUAGGGUGACGGUUCUGGCCGGAUUGGGGAAAAUUUGGAGUUUUGCUUAAACAUUCGACCCCUACCUCUGAAUCUAUGUUUGAAUCCUCUAAUUCUGAUUCUAAUCCGAUGGACCAAGUCAAGUAGAUUUCUUUUUGGUUCAGUAUACUGCCAUGGUUACAAGUGCAUCUCUGAACUAUAAAAU